AACGAACGCUGGCGGCAUGCCUAACACAUGCAAGUCGAACGAGACCUUCGGGUCUAGUGGCGCACGGGUGCGUAACGCGUGGGAAUCUGCCCUUGGGUUCGGAAUAACAGUUGGAAACGACUGCUAAUACCGGAUGAUGACGUAAGUCCAAAGAUUUAUCGCCCAAGGAUGAGCCCGCGUAGGAUUAGCUAGUUGGUGAGGUAAAGGCUCACCAAGGCGACGAUCCUUAGCUGGUCUGAGAGGAUGAUCAGCCACACUGGGACUGAGACACGGCCCAGACUCAUACGGGAGGCAGCAGUGGGGAAUAUUGGACAAUGGGCGAAAGCCUGAUCCAGCAAUGCCGCGUGAGUGAUGAAGGCCUUAGGGUUGUAAAGCUCUUUUACCCGGGAUGAUAAUGACAGUACCGGGAGAAUAAGCGCCGGCUAACUCCGUG
rnacentral:rRNA from 1 species